GUCGAGCGACGGACGAGAAGCUUGCUUCUCUGAUGUUAGCGGCGGACGGGUGAGUAACACGUGGAUAACCUACCUAUAAGACUGGGAUAACUUCGGGAAACCGGAGCUAAUACCGGAUAAUAUUUUGAACCGCAUGGUUCAAAAGUGAAAGACGGUCUUGCUGUCACUUAUAGAUGGAUCCGCGCUGCAUUAGCUAGUUGGUAAGGUAACGGCUUACCAAGGCAACGAUGCAUAGCCGACCUGAGAGGGUGAUCGGCCACACUGGAACUGAGACACGGUCCAGACUCCUACGGGAGGCAGCAGUAGGGAAUCUUCCGCAAUGGGCGAAAGCCUGACGGAGCAACGCCGCGUGAGUGAUGAAGGUCUUCGGAUCGUAAAACUCUGUUAUUAGGGAAGAACAUAUGUGUAAGUAACUGUGCACAUCUUGACGGUACCUAAUCAGAAAGCCACGGCUAACUACGUGCCAGCAGCCGCGGUAAUACGUAGGUGGCAAGCGUUAUCCGGAAUUAUUGGGCGUAAAGCGCGCGUAGGCGGUUUUUUAAGUCUGAUGUGAAAGCCCACGGCUCAACCGUGGAGGGUCAUUGGAAACUGGAAAACUUGAGUGCAGAAGAGGAAAGUGGAAUUCCAUGUGUAGCGGUGAAAUGCGCAGAGAUAUGGAGGAACACCAGUGGCGAAGGCGACUUUCUGGUCUGUAACUGACGCUGAUGUGCGAAAGCGUGGGGAUCAAACAGGAUUAGAUACCCUGGUAGUCCACGCCGUAAACGAUGAGUGCUAAGUGUUAGGGGGUUUCCGCCCCUUAGUGCUGCAGCUAACGCAUUAAGCACUCCGCCUGGGGAGUACGACCGCAAGGUUGAAACUCAAAGGAAUUGACGGGGACCCGCACAAGCGGUGGAGCAUGUGGUUUAAUUCGAAGCAACGCGAAGAACCUUACCAAAUCUUGACAUCCUUUGACAACUCUAGAGAUAGAGCCUUCCCCUUCGGGGGACAAAGUGACAGGUGGUGCAUGGUUGUCGUCAGCUCGUGUCGUGAGAUGUUGGGUUAAGUCCCGCAACGAGCGCAACCCUUAAGCUUAGUUGCCAUCAUUAAGUUGGGCACUCUAAGUUGACUGCCGGUGACAAACCGGAGGAAGGUGGGGAUGACGUCAAAUCAUCAUGCCCCUUAUGAUUUGGGCUACACACGUGCUACAAUGGACAAUACAAAGGGCAGCGAAACCGCGAGGUCAAGCAAAUCCCAUAAAGUUGUUCUCAGUUCGGAUUGUAGUCUGCAACUCGACUACAUGAAGCUGGAAUCGCUAGUAAUCGUAGAUCAGCAUGCUACGGUGAAUACGUUCCCGGGUCUUGUACACACCGCCCGUCACACCACGAGAGUUUGUAACACCCGAAGCCGGUGGAGUAACCUUUUAGGAGCUAGCCGUCGAAG
rnacentral:rRNA from 1 species